GAUGAACGCUAGCGGCAGGCCUAACACAUGCAAGUCGAGGGGCAUCACGGAAAAGCUUGCUUUUCUGGUGGCGACCGGCGCACGGGUGCGGAACGCGUAUGGAACCUGCCCCUGUCAGGGGAAUAGCCCAGGGAAACUUGGAUUAAUGCCCCAUGGUACCGUUAUAUCGCAUGAUAUUACGGUUAAAGAUUUAUCGGACAGGGAUGGCCAUGCGUACCAUUAGUUAGUUGGUGAGGUAACGGCUCACCAAGGCAGCGAUGGUUAGGGGCCCUGAGAGGGGGAUCCCCCACACUGGUACUGAGACACGGACCAGACUCCUACGGGAGGCAGCAGUGAGGAAUAUUGGACAAUGGGCGGGAGCCUGAUCCAGCCAUGCCGCGUGCAGGAUGACGGCCCUAUGGGUUGUAAACUGCUUUUAUACGGGAAGAAACGCGCCCACGUGUGGGCGUUUGACGGUACCGUAAGAAUAAGGACCGGCUAACUCCGUGCCAGCCGCCGCCGUAACAC
rnacentral:rRNA from 1 species